AGUGUAGAGGUGGCUAAGAUGC
rnacentral:miRNA from 1 species